UGUUCAACAGUCUCUUUGGCUUUCCUGUGAAGUAAGGAAACAAAAGGGUCUGGAUUGUCUCUCUGUCUUCUUGGGUGACCCUUUGGUAUGUCGCUUCUUCUACUAUCAGGAAGCAUGUGUCGUAAAAGUAAUCAGCCUGGCUUUAUCUGCAGACGGGCCGGAGCCGGAACCUCAAUUCUGAAUUAGAAUUAUGUUUUGAAAGAAUCAUCUGAAUGAUUCAUUUGUCUGGUUCGUCCACAGUUCCUACAUAUCCCCCCUUGGUUCGGCGAUGUGUUGAGAUGAAGACAUCGGCGGACACUGUAGAAAAAUGGACAGAAGCAGACACACACAAAGCAACAACAAAACAACACCUCCAUGAUUGACCACUAUACUGGUUGUUCUGGUGACAUCAUUUGUGGUAAAAAUGAUGUGACCCAUCAUGGAGCUCUCUCGGGCUCACAUUCGAAUUUUCAAAUGGCUUUCAGACCUUAGGCGUGGUGCGUCAAUCCUAAUGUCAUGACCUUGACCCUUAUGGGGCAGACAGGUAUUUUACCUUAUAAAGAAGAAGGGAAAGAGAGGAAGAG